rnacentral:rRNA from 1 species
CGAAGGUGGGACAGAUGAUUGGGGUGAAGUCGUAACAAGGUAGCCGUAUCGGAAGGUGCGGCUGGAUCACCUCCUUU